rnacentral:misc_RNA from 1 species
AGCAGCCGCGGUAAUUCCAGCUCCAAUAGCGUAUAUUAAAGUUGUUGCAGUUAAAAAGCUCGUAGUUGAAUUUCGGGGUUAGCAGGUCGGUCGUGCCAUCGGUAUGAACUGGUCUCGCUGAUCCCUCCCUCUUGAAGAACUGUGAUGCCAUUAAUUUGGUGUCGCAGGGAAUCAGGACUGUUACUUUGAAAAAUUAGAGUGUUUAAAGCAGGCUCACGCUUGAAUACAUUAGCAUGGAAUAAUGAAAUAGGACGUUUGAUCCUAUUUUGUUGGUUUCUAGGAUUGACGUAAUGAUUAAUAGGGAUAGUUGGGGGCAUUAGUAUUCAAUUGUCAGAGGUGAAAUUCUUGGAUUUAUUGAAGACUAACUACUGCGAAAGCAUUUGCCAAGGAUGUUUUCAUUAAUCAAGAACGAAAGUUAGGGGAUCGAAGACGAUCAGAUACCGUCGUAGUCUUAACCAUAAACUAUGCCGACUAGGGAUCGGAUGGAUGUUAAUUUUUAAUGUACUCAUUC